GCUGCGGUGGUGAAGCGGCUAACACAACUGUUUGCAGAACAGAUAUUCGGGGGUUCGAGUCCCCUCCGCAGCU
rnacentral:tRNA from 1 species